GCUCCAGUAGCAUAAUUGGUUAGUGCAUGGUACUUAUAAUGCCAAGGCUGUGAGUUCGAGCCUCACCUGGAGCA